UUUCCUGUAAUGGCGAAAUUUUAAAUGUUUUAAUUUAUUUUUCGUCUUAGUUUGCAGCAUUAGUCCUAGAUGGCGCGUAAUAGAAGUUGUCAUUUCCACCGCUAGGUGUCGCAAAAAACAAUUUUAUUUUCACGAUUGUUCUGCUUGUUCGUGACUCCCAUCCAUCCAAUCACGUCAAAAUGAUCGCGUCAUACGACCCAAAUCUCUACGACGAGUCUUCACGUCAGGGACACGGCAUCAAGGCGACCGUGAAAAGCCAGACAGACCAAACUGAAAGUGACUCACGUGUACAGUGCGCUGGGUCGGAUCCUUUUGGAGGAGGAAAACGAGCUCGCGAUCGGAUCGUGUCUGGAUGUCCCGUGCAUGGCCUCCGUUUUGGUGGUACUGCUGUGCGCCCAUCUUCACCUGGAAGCGUCGUUUCAUCAUCAUAGCGUCUCGUCGUGAAAACGGAUCCCGCUUUCACGAACUACCAUCCGCCAUUGAGAGUCAUCUGUCAUGAAGCAAUCACGAGAAAACAUUUUAGAAAGGCUUUAUUUUUUUAAAAUUUUCUUUCUGGUUUCUUCAAACCGCAUAAAGAGCAAACAUUGCGGAGACGCACGAUAACGUUCGUUCAUCACGCGACACGGGCUAAAACCAGGGGAGGAGUAAAUGCGCCGUCACGUUCCCGUCACGGUUCGGCCCCACCCUCAAACAUUCUCUCUACCCAUAUACUGUUACGUGUGUUAUGCCUAUUUCUAAAAAUCUGCUGGCCGGUUAAAUCCCAUCUGAAAAUUGAUCGUCUUCCAAUGACGAAGAUUUCAACACACUCCUUUGCCCAUUUGAUUUCACUUAAAAAAUGAAAAUGAUUACUUUGUCUACAUUUGGAAAUGCUCAUUCAAAACGCGUACAAAACAAACGAAAAUAAGCGGGAAAGUGACCAGCGUGUUUUGCCCCUAUUCGGUUUCGAUCCGUCAAAAAAAAACGUGACAUUCUUCAAGGGGAAGCGUCAAGAAUACAAGAACUGUGAUUUCAUCCCGCAUGUGUCCGCGUGAUUAGUUCGCCCUCCCGUCGCUGCUGCGAUAAACCUUUUCUUUUUCGUGCCAACUCAUAAGAGGGCACUAGAAAGCCACUGAACUUUUGACAUUUGAUGUUAGCGGUGGAAGAGUUACCUGUCAAAGUAGGUCACCUGGAAUCCUAGCUCGCCACAAGCAAGCACAAUGUGUGUCACACACACACACACGCAGAUGGGUUAAAUCAAUCGAAAAUCGAAACAGAAUCAACGAUGGCCAUCAUUCUCAGUAAUUUUUUUUACCUUAAAGAAUCAGCUCGGACUUUCACAAGAAGGCCAGCACACUUUCGCGCGUCCGUCAUAUUUCAUGGCUAAUAAUUAAACGAGAGAAAGUUUUUUUUUUUCAUAGCAACUGACGUGUUUCGCCGCCGGAAAUGUACAUAA